GACGAACGCUGGCGGCGUGCUUAACACAUGCAAGUCGAACGGAAAGGCCUCUUUCGGGGGGUACUCGAGUGGCGAACGGGUGAGUAACACGUGAGUAACCUGCCCUUGACUUUGGGAUAACUUCAGGAAACUGGGGCUAAUACCGGAUAGGAGCUCCUGCUGCAUGGUGGGGGUUGGAAAGGUUCGGCGGUUGGGGAUGGACUCGCGGCUUAUCAGCUUGUUGGUGGGGUAGUGGCUUACCAAGGCUUUGACGGGUAGCCGACCUGAGAGGGUGACCGGCCACAUUGGGACUGAGAUACGGCCCAGACUCCUACGGGAGGCAGCAGUGGGGAAUAUUGCACAAUGGGUGGAAGCCUGAUGCAGCAACGCCGUGUGCGGGAUGACGGCCUUCGGGUUGUAAACCGCUUUCGCUCAUGACGAAGCUUUGUGUGACGGUAGUGGGUAAAGAAGCACCGGCUAACUACGUG
rnacentral:rRNA from 1 species